UACAGAGGUCCCAAGCGUUACUGAGAAUCACUGGGUUUAAAGGAUGCGUAGGUGGUCCGUUAAGUCAGUUGUGAAAUCCCCGGGCUCAACCCGGGAAAUGCUUCUGAUACUGGCGGACUUGGGGCCAGUAGGGGUCACUAGAACUGACGGUGGAGCGGUGAAAUGCGUAGAUAUCGUCAGGAAUGCCGGUGGUGAAGACGGGUGACUGGGCUGGUUCUGACACUGAGGCACGAAAGCGUGGGGAGCGAACGGG
rnacentral:rRNA from 1 species